AUUGAACGCUGGCGGCAGGCCUAACACAUGCAAGUCGAGCGGAUGAAGGGAGCUUGCUCCUGGAUUCAGCGGCGGACGGGUGAGUAAUGCCUAGGAAUCUGCCUGGUAGUGGGUGAUAACGUCCGGAAACGGGCGCUAAUACCGCAUACGUCCUGAGGGAGAAAGUGGGGGAUCUUCGGACCACACGCUAUCAGAUGAGCCUAGGUCGGAUUAGCUAGUUGGUGGGGUAAAGGCCUACCAAGGCGACGAUCCGUAACUGGUCUGAGAGGAUGAUCAGUCACACUGGAACUAAGACACGGUCCGGACUCCUACGGGAGGCAGCAGUGGGGAAUAUUGGGCAAUGGGCGAAAGCCUGAUCCAGCCAUGCCGCGUGUGUGAAGAAGGUCUUCGGAUUGUAAAGCACUUUAAGUUGGGAGGAAGGGCAGUAAGUUAAUACCUUGCUGUUUUGACGUUACCAACAGAAUAAGCACCGGCUAACUUCGUG
rnacentral:rRNA from 1 species